AGGAGUUUUGAAUCUGGCUCAGGAUGAACGCUGGCGGCGUGCUUAACACAUGCAAGUCGAACGAUGAAGCCCAGCUUGCUGGGUGGAUUAGUGGCGAACGGGUGAGUAACACGUGAGUAACCUGCCCUUAACUCUGGGAUAAGCCUGGGAAACUGGGUCUAAUACCGGAUAGGAGCGUCCACCGCAUGGUGGGUGUUGGAAAGAUUUAUCGGUUUUGGAUGGACUCGCGGCCUAUCAGCUUGUUGGUGAGGUAAUGGCUCACCAAGGCGACGACGGGUAGCCGGCCUGAGAGGGUGACCGGCCACACUGGGACUGAGACACGGCCCAGACUCCUACGGGAGGCAGCAGUGGGGAAUAUUGCACAAUGGGCGAAAGCCUGAUGCAGCGACGCCGCGUGAGGGAUGACGGCCUUCGGGUUGUAAACCUCUUUCAGUAGGGAAGAAGCGAAAGUGACGGUACCUGCAGAAGAAGCACCGGCUAACUACGUGCCAGCAGCCGCGGUAAUACGUAGGGUGCGAGCGUUAUCCGGAAUUAUUGGGCGUAAAGAGCUCGUAGGCGGUUUGUCGCGUCUGUCGUGAAAGUCCGGGGCUUAACCCCGGAUCUGCGGUGGGUACGGGCAGACUAGAGUGCAGUAGGGGAGACUGGAAUUCCUGGUGUAGCGGUGGAAUGCGCAGAUAUCAGGAGGAACACCGAUGGCGAAGGCAGGUCUCUGGGCUGUAACUGACGCUGAGGAGCGAAAGCAUGGGGAGCGAACAGGAUUAGAUACCCUGGUAGUCCAUGCCGUAAACGUUGGGCACUAGGUGUGGGGACCAUUCCACGGUUCCGCGCCGCAGCUAACGCA
rnacentral:rRNA from 1 species